AAAAAAAACACCUUAAAUUUGCUAAUUAUUUGGCAUGAAAGUUUGAUUUAUUGAAAGGGACUCAUAGUUUUCCAUUUUAUUUUAAUAAUUGUCUAAUUGUUAGAACAACAGUUGGGUAAGGGCUUCGUUGUUUACCUUUAUACACAACAACAUAUUCACUUUGGUUUCCUUGUUUACCUAAAUACACAACAACAUAUUCACUAUGUACUUGGUAACAGUUAUUAAUUAAUUGAAUAGAAAAUAUUAUAACAAAUAUUAUUGGAUGCCGAAUUGACG
rnacentral:lncRNA from 1 species